CAAAAUUUCAAACAUUUGUGACAUCCACAUAGAACAUUCAAAAGCAUUCCAGUGGCAGCUCGCACGUCAUCCAUCAGUUCCUCUGAGAACAGGCAGAGCUCUUUACUGUGAUGUCUCGCUGGUCCCCUGAUAACCUCUGAUCUUGCCUGGGAUGCAUCCGCCGCAGCAAUCACAACCCUCCACGGUUUUCCAAGUUAACAGCUUAGUACGUUUGAGAAAAUCCAAAUUUUGUAUCUUUUCAAAUGGAAGGCCGUGUGGUAAAGUGAAAAGAGCAGUGGACUUGGUAUCAGGAGUAAGAAGAACCAACAAUGAUGAAUACAUCGAUGACGUGCCAGGUGAGUAUCUUUGGAACUGCACUUGCAAGGAACAUGCUUUGAGAAAUAAUUUUCUUCACACCAAAGGCCUCGCCGCUCUGCAGUGUCUGCCAACAUGCGUUCAUUCCUUCACGGAGUCAACAGUGCUAAAGAUCCCAGCAGAUCAGACAGAAGAGCACAUCUCUACAGGCAUUGUGACAUGUGGACUGUAAAGGGGAAUUUCACACAGAGAGAAAAGGCGGGGACGAUUAACAGUAGGACGUCACUUGAUGUCAUAAAGCUUGCAGAUAAUAGGUUAAUAUUUUGCUGCAAAGUAAUAUUAAAAUGUGCUCAGAUCAAUUUUAAUCUCACUAAAAUAAAUGAAAUAACUUGCUAAAUAAAAAGAUGUUAGUAAAUCUCCUAAGCCCCAAAGUUCUGACAUUCAGUAAAGGCCAAUGUGAACUGACAGACGUAGCGCUAACAGUCAUACCACUUAACAUUUUUUUUCCUUAAAGAUUGGCA
rnacentral:lncRNA from 1 species